rnacentral:rRNA from 1 species
UGGGGAAUAUUGGACAAUGGGCGAAAGCCUGAUCCAGCCAUGCCGCGUGUGUGAAGAAGGUCUUCGAAUUGUAAAGCACUUUAAGUUGGGAGGAAGGGCAGUAAGCGAAUACCUUGCUGUUUUGACGUUACCGACAGAAUAAGCACCGGCUAACUCUGUGCCAGCAGCCGCGGUAAUACAGAGGGUGCAAGCGUUAAUCGGAAUUACUGGGCGUAAAGCGCGCGUAGGUGGUUCGUUAAGUUGAAUGUGAAAGCCCCGGGCUCAACCUGGGAACUGCAUCCAAAACUGGCGAGCUAGAGUAGGGCAGAGGGUGGUGGAAUUUCCUGUGUAGCGGUGAAAUGCGUAGAUAUAGGAAGGAACACCAGUGGCGAAGGCGACCACCUGGGCUCAUACUGACACUGAGGUGCGAAAGCGUGGGGAGCAAACAGG